UGAAUACGAGACGCUAAGGCGUUGAAGUAGUGUAUGUCAUACUUCCAAGAAAAGCUUGCACUGUCAUAGAUAAAAAACGCCUGUACCAUAACCGACACAGGUGGGUAGGUAGAGUAUACUAAGGGGCGCGAGAUAACUCUCUCUAAGGAACUCGGCAAAAUAACUCCGUAACUUCGGGAGAAGGAGUGCCUUAUUUAUAAGGCUGCAAUAACAAGAUCCAAGCAACUGUUUAUCAAAAACACAGGUCUCCGCUAAGUCGUAAGACGAUGUAUGGGGGCUGACGCCUGCCCAGUGCCAGAAGGUUAAAGAAGUUGGUUAGCAAUAGCGAAGCUGAUAACUGAAGCCCUGGUGAACGGCGGCCGUAACGAUAACGGUCCUAAGGUAGCGAAAUUCCUUGUCGGGUAAGUUCCGACCCGCACGAAAGGCGUAAUGAUUUGGAUACUGUCUCGGAGAGGGGCUCGGUGAAAUAGACUUGUCUGUGAAGAUGCGGACUACCUGCACCAGGACAGAAAGACCCUAUGAAGCUUUACUGUAACUUGAAAUUGAAAUUGGACUUUAUUCGCGCAGUAUAGGUGGGAGCGUUGAUUGUAAUCUUGCGGGAUUAUUGGAGCCAUCAGUGAGAUACCACCCUUGUAAUGUUAGAUUUCUAACUUUGAAUCAUUAUCUGGUCAAAGAACAGUUUCAGGCGGGCAGUUUGACUGGGGCGGUCGCCUCCUAAACGGUAACGGAGGCGUACAAAGGUUUCCUCUGAACGGUUAGAAAUCGUAUCUAGAGUGUAAAGGCAUAAGGAAGCUUGACUGUGAGACCUACAAGUCGAGCAGGGACGAAAGUCGGUCUUAGUGAUCUGACGGUACUGAGUGGAAAGGCCGUCACUCAACGGAUAAAAGUUACUCUAGGAUAACAGGCUGAUCUCCCCCAAGAGUUCACAUCGACGGGGAGGUUUGGCACCUCGAUGUCGGCUCAUCGCAUCCUGGGGCGGUAGUACGUCCCAAGGGUUGGGCUGUUCGCCCAUGAAAGCGGUACGCGAGCUGGGUUCAGAACGUCGUGAGACAGUUCGGUCCAUAUCCGGUGUAGGCGUUAGAAUAUUGAGAGGAGCCUUCUUUAGUACGAGAGGACCGAGAAGGACAUACCUCUGGUGUACCAGUUAUCGUGCCAACGGUAAACGCUGGGUAGCUAUGUAUGGAGUGGAUAACCGCUGAAAGCAUCUAAGUGGGAAGCCCACCUCAAGAUAAGUAUUCUCC
rnacentral:rRNA from 1 species